GAUGCCUGAUCUCAUCAAUCUAGCGGGAGAGACAGGAUAACCUGUCCGAGAGUAUAGCGCCACUAUGACUCCGCCGGAAAAAUUACUUUAAAAAUCGCCAAAAAUUACUUGGAGCAAAGGGCAGUCGGCGGAGCUUCGCCAAGGCUGGCGCAGUCGCCGUUUUCUCGACCCGGUGAUGGCCGUCAUCUCGUGACAAGAAACUUAAGGUCGACAGAAAAUUCAGGACCCGGAGUCAUGGGUCCCUCCGGUGGGUCGUGGCAACAGUCCCCCCCGCCACCGCCCGGCACCCAUCUAUCUAUAUUGUCUUUUGACGCUGAAGCGUGAGGUGCCCCAGGAAAGAGUUUCCCAAGCCCUGGCUGCCCUCCCCCGGCGCGCUGGGUCCCGGUGAGGUCUCUAGGUAGGUUUUGACCUGUAGCAGAGAACCAAUUCUGGAGAACAGCCUCACUUCUUUGAUUGAAUACUUACAUAAUGCAUUGGAACAUGACAUGAGAUUAAGGUUUAAUAAUGAUAGAAUGAAGACCACAAUAAAAGAGACCUCUACUUAGCUCAGCAAUUCUUACCUUUCUUACCUAUUUGAUGAAGAUGUCUUUUGAAAGGUGUACUGCAAGGAACAAAAUGUUUGUAAAUUCUCCUUUUACCAAGGUUUCUUUUUUAAUUGAUGCCAAAGAGUUCCAAUAUUGAACAUCUUAAGUCUGUUACUUGGAUUACGGAUUGAGUUUGGAGCUUACUCAGAGGACUACAGGAGAGUAUCCAGGAAGUGGAUAAUUACUGUACCUUCCUCAUGGAAAAAGUUUUAUUUAAAGUGUUAUUUCUCAUUGAAUACUAUCAAAAAGGAAAAAAAAAUGACCUAAACUUUUGAGAUAGAUUUGGCUCUAGUAAGUAUUUAGUUAUAUCACUUGCAUAUCUGGGAGAAGAAAUAAGAGACUAUCAUCAGUACAUUCCCAUCUACUAAAAAAAUUUAUUUUACACAUGUCAAGGGAUUACUUAUAACUUCCAUUUUAUUACUAAUAGCUUGAACCCUUUUAAUGAAGACCUAACUCCUCCACCAGAAAUUUAAGUUUAUGUUCUUACUUUGUUUACUUAUAAAAUACAUCUCAGGUAUUUCGGAUGUCUUUUUUUUUUCUAAGCCUAUAUGAAAUGAAAAAUAUAUUGGCAAAAUAAAUGUUUAAACCUUUUACGUUAAAAUUACUUUGAAAGAUGAAAAGUUAGUGCUGUUUUUGUCUACGUUAUACUGAAAUUAAAUGUUUAUAAUUUAUAUUUUGGGUUUAUGUAUAAAUCAUGGAAUUUAUGCAAAAAUAUGAGUAGUACAGAUUCUCCUCUAAUUCUGUAGGACUUUGAAUAAUGUGAUAUUUUUCUUAUAAUUGGACCCUUGUGUUUUGAAGAAAUGCCAACUGCUUGAAGAAUCUCCUUGUUAUUUGUAUUAUUUGCUAUAGGGUUAGAUGUUGAGAAAUUCUGCUGACAAAAAAUUUUAAGCCAGUUUUACACUAAAUGUUCCUCAGUCUGAUUAAUUUGUUAUUGGAUGUAUUCUGUAUCUUUCUUUUGUAAUUUGUAACUUUUAUCCACUUAGCACGAAUGAUUCUAUUAAAGAAAAUCAUUAGGAAGUGGUAGAAACUUUAAAUCGCCCCAGAGUUUGCCUGUUUCCAUAUUUUAUUAUCUUAUAAUCUUCGGGAGUGCUUACACUUAUGGAGCUAACAUUUUCAGAGAUACAGCUUCUUAUAGUAACACUAAAACUUUCUUCCUCUUUGGACUGAAUACCUAUAAUUAUAACUAUAUGGUAGUUUAAGUUUCCUUGUGAUUAGUCAAAAAUACCAUUUUAGUAUGAAGCAAUGAAGUCUAUUAUUUGUUGUCCCAUAAUUGAGAAAGCUUAAAUACACCUUUUAUUAAGAGUUUGUAAAUUCUAGCUUAGUCUACACAGAUUUUUAUAUCAAUUUGUUUAUAUUUUUAUUAAUGUCAUUUCUGGAAGUGUGAAAAUGUUAAUGUUCAACAAGCAACAUUAAAAAUAGAUUUGAAACAUUUAUAUAUAGAGAGGUACACAUUUAUUUACUGUUUAGGUACUGAAGAUUAUCACUUAAUAAAAAAUAUAUAUCCCA
rnacentral:lncRNA from 10 species